rnacentral:rRNA from 1 species
CUACGGGGGGCACCAGUGAGGAAUAUUGCACAAUGGGGGCAACCCUGAUGCAGCAACGCCGCGUGGAGGAUGACGCAUUUCGGUGUGUAAACUCCUUUUAUCAGAGAAGAACCAUGACGGUAUCUGAUGAAUAAGCUCCGGCUAACUCCGUGCCAGCAGCCGCGGUAAUACGGAGGGAGCAAGCGUUAUUCGGAAUCACUGGGCGUAAAGGACGCGUAGGCCGGUCUGUAAGUCAGGUGUGAAAUGCAAUGGCUCAACCAUUGAACUGCACUUGAAACUGCGGACCUAGAGUAUGGAAGGGGCAGAUGGAAUUAGUGGUGUAGGGGUAAAAUCCGUAGAUAUCACUAGGAAUACCGAAAGCGAAGGCGAUCUGCUGGGACAUAACUGACGCUGAGGCGUGAAAGCGUGGGGAGCAAACAGGAUUAGAUACCCUGGUAGUC